rnacentral:rRNA from 1 species
GGGCAGGUUGAAGGUUGGGUAACACUAACUGGAGGACCGAACCGACUAAUGUUGAAAAAUUAGCGGAUGACUUGUGGCUGGGGGUGAAAGGCCAAUCAAACCGGGAGAUAGCUGGUUCUCCCCGAAAGCUAUUUAGGUAGCGCCUCGUGAAUUCAUCUCCGGGGGUAGAGCACUGUUUCGGCAAGGGGGUCAUCCCGACUUACCAACCCGAUGCAAACUGCGAAUACCGGAGAAUGUUAUCACGGGAGACACACGGCGGGUGCUAACGUCCGUCGUGAAGAGGGAAACAACCCAGACCGCCAGCUAAGGUCCCAAAGUCAUGGUUAAGUGGGAAACGAUGUGGGAAGGCCCAGACAGCCAGGAUGUUGGCUUAGAAGCAGCCAUCAUUUAAAGAAAGCGUAAUAGCUCACUGGUCGAGUCGGCCUGCGCGGAAGAUGUAACGGGGCUAAACCAUGCACCGAAGCUGCGGCAGCGACGCUGAUGCGUUGUUGGGUAGGGGAGCGUUCUGUAAGCCUG